UACGAAGGGUGCAAGCGUUACUCGGAAUUACUGGGCGUAAAGCGUGCGUAGGCGGUUCGUUAAGUCCGUUGUGAAAGCCCUGGGCUCAACCUGGGAAUGGCAGUGGAUACUGGCGAGCUAGAGUGUGAUAGAGGAUGGUGGAAUUCCCGGUGUAGCGGUGAAAUGCGUAGAGAUCGGGAGGAACACCAGUGGCGAAGGCGGCCAUCUGGAUCAAGCACUGACGCGUGAGGCACGAAAGCGUGGGGAGCAAACAGG
rnacentral:rRNA from 1 species